UACGUAGGGUGCAAGCGUUGUCCGGAAUUAUUGGGCGUAAAGAGCUCGUAGGCGGCUUGUCGCGUCGGCUGUGAAAACCUGGGGCUCAACCCCGGGCCUGCAGCCGAUACGGGCAAGCUAGAAUUCGGUAGGGGAGGACUGGAAUUCCUGGUGUAGCGGUGGAAAUGACGCAGAUAUCAGGAGGAACACCGGUGGCGAAGGCGGGUCUCUGGGCCGAUAUUGACGCUGAGGAGCGAAAGCGUGGGGAGCGAACAGG
rnacentral:rRNA from 1 species